GACGAACGCUGGCGGCGUGCUUAACACAUGCAAGUCGAACGGAAAGGCCCUGCUUUUGUGGGGUGCUCGAGUGGCGAACGGGUGAGUAACACGUGAGUAACCUGCCCUUGACUUUGGGAUAACUUCAGGAAACUGGGGCUAAUACCGGAUAGGAGCUCCUGCUGCAUGGUGGGGGUUGGAAAGUUUCGGCGGUUGGGGAUGGACUCGCGGCUUAUCAGCUUGUUGGUGGGGUAGUGGCUUACCAAGGCUUUGACGGGUAGCCGGCCUGAGAGGGUGACCGGCCACAUUGGGACUGAGAUACGGCCCAGACUCCUACGGGAGGCAGCAGUGGGGAAUAUUGCACAAUGGGCGGAAGCCGGAUGCAGCAACGCCGCGUGCGGGAUGACGGCCUUCGGGUGGUAAACCGCUUUCGCCUGUGACGAAGCGUGAGGGACGGGAAUGGGUAAAGAAGCACCGGCGAACUACGU
rnacentral:rRNA from 1 species